UACAGAGGGGGCAAGCGUUGUUCGGAAUUACUGGGCGUAAAGGGCGCGUAGGCGGCCUUCUAAGUCGAACGUGAAAUCCCCGGGCUCAACCCGGGAACUGCGUCCGAUACUGGAAGGCUUGAAUCCGGGAGAGGGAUGUGGAAUUCCAGGUGUAGUGGUGAAAUGCGUAGAGAUCCGGAGGAACACCAGUGGCGAAGGCGACACGCUGGGUCAUACCUGACACUAAAACGCGACAGCAUGGGGAGCGAACGGG
rnacentral:rRNA from 1 species